AGAAGGAAACAUAAUGAAUCAACUUCAUGGCUAAGGAUGUUUCCGACGAAAUGCCGCUGACCGAAGGGAGGGGGCAAUACAUAU
rnacentral:sRNA from 1 species